UUAAAUACAUCAAUAACACAAGAAGAAAACAAGUCAUAUUCAUAGUAAAAAUCUGUUUUUUUGCUUUCUACCUAAAUCCAACAAAGAAAGAACAAAAAAAGAAAAAAAACAACAGAAUAAAUAAUGUCUUUGUAAUCUUUUAUCAAAAUGGUAGAAAAUCUAGUUUCAGAAGUUUCCAUUGUAAUGGUAGAUUAUAAACUUGUUUACAUUAUAUAAUGUGACAGAAUCUAUAACAGGACGGACAUACUAACAAAUAAAAAUUGGAUGCACAGACAGACAGACCUGACCAUAAUGGCCCUUACAUUACAUUAAAUGUAUGCAUAAGGCUUAACUUGAAUUAAUAAAAUGGAAAUCUAUUUUAUAAGUUUAUCAAUAAUUUACAAAUGCACUUCUGGUAUAUACAUUUCUAAAUAAAAAACUCAGAAAUCAAUUAAAGCAUUUAGUUCAUUGCGUUUAGUUGCCAUGACAGAGGAUAAAACUGACUAGAACAUCACCUGUAAGAAUAUGAACCCUAUUUGUUUUUUAACCUUAAUGACAAAUUAUGUAAGCUGAACCAAAAACUGUAAUUCAGAAAUUUGUUCUUUCAUUUAUUAUAUAUGAUUGAUUGUUGAACAAUAUUCAAGAACGAGAGAUUAAUUAUUGCAAUUUCUGAAAAUGUGACAUUCAAAUAAUGCUGUUUUAAGUUUAAAAUGUGAGGUUAUCCCGUCACAACUUCCACACUUGAACAAAAAAAAUCACAAAUAGUUCUAAAUUUCCCCUAUGAAUAAUUACAAAUAUUCAUACGGCUUAAAAAAUGACCAUUUCUACUGCUAUUUGAAAAAAAUCAAAAAAUUAUUUAUCAAAAAAUGAAUUGAUUUCUGAAUCAGUAUAAAAUUAAGAAGCAAUUGAUAUCAUGCAGUAAUUAGGUAAUUCUAUUCUUCCAUUCCACUUAUAACAAUCUACUUAUACUGAAUGUAAUUUCAUAAAUAUUUACAACCUUAUAAAAUAAAU
rnacentral:lncRNA from 1 species